UGGGGAAUUUUGGACAAUGGGGGCAACCCUGAUCCAGCCAUGCCGCGUGUCUGAAGAAGGCCUUCGGGUUGUAAAGGACUUUUGUCGGGGAGCAAAUCCUGCUUACGAAUACUGAGUGGGGAUGAGAGUACCUGAAGAAUAAGCACCGGCUAACUACGUGCCAGCAGCCGCGGUAAUACGUAGGGUGCAAGCGUUAAUCGGAAUUACUGGGCGUAAAGCGUGCGCAGGCGGUAGUGCAAGUCUGAUGUGAAAGCCCCGGGCUUAACCUGGGAACGGCAUUGGAGACUGCAUAACUAGAGUGCGUCAGAGGGGGGUAGAAUUCCACGUGUAGCAGUGAAAUGCGUAGAGAUGUGGAGGAAUACCGAUGGCGAAGGCAGCCCCCUGGGAUGACACUGACGCUCAUGCACGAAAGCGUGGGGAGCAAACAGG
rnacentral:rRNA from 1 species